rnacentral:misc_RNA from 1 species
AAGUGAGGACAUGUUUGCGUCCGCCUGUCUUGUGCAACGUUUAUUGUGGAAUUCUGGCACAUUUUGUGUGUGCCAGAUGCCAUUUUUUAAUCCAUUUCAUUUUAUUACUGUAUUCUAACGACAAUCAAAAAGAACCUUGA